rnacentral:rRNA from 1 species
GACGAACCGUGCGAACGUUGUUCGGAAUCACUGGGCUUAAAGGGCGCGUAGGCGGGCUGCCAAGUCUGGGGUGAAAUCCCACGGCUCAACCGUGGAACUGCCUCGGAUACUGGCGGACUCGAGGGAGGUAGGGGCGUGCGGAACUGUGGGUGGAGCGGUGAAAUGCGUUGAUAUCCACAGGAACUCCGGUGGCGAAGGCGGCACGCUGGACCUCUUCUGACGCUGAGGCGCGAAAGCCAGGGGAGCAAACGGG